rnacentral:rRNA from 1 species
CCCUGGUUGAUCCUGCCAGUAGUUAUAUGCUUGUCUCAAAGAUUAAGCCAUGCAUGUCUCAGUGCAAGCCGUAUUAAGGCGAUACCGCGAAUGGCUCAAUAUAUCAGUUUUGGUUCCUUAGAUCUUACUCAGUUACUUGGAUAACUGUGGUAAUUCUAGAGCUAAUACAUGCAAUCAGAACUCUGACCAGUGAUGGGAUGAGUGCUUUUAUUAGAUCAAAACCAAUCGACGGAUGGCCAUGUGUCUGAAGUCGUUAAUUUUGAUGAAUCUGGAUAACUUUUGCCGAUCGCAUGGUCCAGUACCGGCGACGCAUCUUUCAAAUGUCUGCCUUAUCAACUUUCGAUGGUAGUUUCUGCGACUACCAUGGUUGUCACGGGUAACGGGGAAUCAGGGUUCGAUUCCGGAGAGGGAGCCUGAGAAACGGCUACCACAUCCAAGGAAGGCAGCAGGCGCGCAAAUUACCCACUCCCGGCACGGGGAGGUAGUGACGAAAAAUAACGAUACGGGACUCUUACGAGGCCUCGUAAUCGGAAUGAGUACACUUUAAAUAUUUUAACGAGGAACAAUUGGAGGGCAAGUCUGGUGCCAGCAGCCGCGGUAAUUCCAGCUCCAAUAGCGUAUACUAAAAUUGUUGCGGUUAAAAAGCUCGUAGUUGCAUUUGUGCGCCGCGCUGUCGGUGCACCGCAUCCGCGGUGAUACUGACACGUCUGCGGAGCAUAUCGUCGGUGAGCCGGCGGUAAUACGCCGGUUCAAUAUCAAAAUCCUAUCGCGGUGCUCUUCGGUGAGUGUCGAGGUGGGCCGACAAUUUUACUUUGAACAAAUUAGAGUGCUCAAAGCGGGCUCAAAAUGCUGCUUGAAUAUUUCGUGCAUGGAAUAAUAGAAUAUGAUCUCGGUUCUAUUUUGUUGGUUUUCAGAACUCCGAGUAAUGAUUAAUAGGAUAACUGGGGGCAUUCGUAUUGCGACGUUAGAGGUGAAAUUCUUGGAUCGUCGCAAGACGAACAUCAGCGAAAGCAUUUGCCAAAGGUGUUUCAUCAAUCAAGAACGAAAGUUAGAGGUUCGAAGGCGAUUAGAUACCGCCCUAGUUCUAACCGUAAAUAUGUCAUCUAGCGAUCCGCCGACGUUACUACAAUGGCUCGGCGGGCAGCUUCCGGGAAACCAAAGAUUUUGGACUCGGGGGGAGUAUGGUUGCAAAGCUGAAACUUAAAGAAUUGACGGAAGGGCACCACCAGGAGUGGAGCCUGCGGCUUAAUUUGACUCAACACGGGAAAUCUCACCAGGCCCGGACACCGGAAGGAUUGACAGAUUAACAGCUCUUUUAUUGCUAUCGGUGUCAGAACGCACUUCGCUUAAAACACUCGCCGAUUCAUGACCAUUCUCUUUUACUUCUCAUAUUAAGACUCGAAUAUUUUUAUCGAUAGGAAUUUCAUGCGUACAAAUAUAGUGAUGAAUCUUUUCGUGUCAAACCUGAGUUCCCGCUGGACACAGCUUUCGCAGAGUCUUUCAAGUUUGGAGCUCUCCAGUUUUCUCGCUUUGCUUGGCCCGGCUGAGAACAAAGUCAAUAAGCGCCAAGCAAAUAACAUUAGCUAUUCUAACUUGUAUCAAAACGAGCACAAUAC